rnacentral:rRNA from 1 species
AAUCUGGCUGUCUUCGAUAGUCCGAGUUGUAAUCUAUAGAAGCGUUUUCCGUGCUGAACUGUGUCUAAGUCCCUUGGAACAGGGUAUCAAAGAGGGUGACAAUCCCGUACUUGACACAAUCAUCAGUGCUCUGUGAUACGCUCUCUACGAGUCGAGUUGUUUGGGAAUGCAGCUCAAAAUGGGUGGUAAAUUCCAUCUAAAGCUAAAUAUUGGCGAGAGACCGAUAGCGAACAAGUACCGUGAGGGAAAGAUGAAAAGCACUUUGGAAAGAGAGUUAAACAGUACGUGAAAUUGUUGAAAGGGAAACGAUUGAAGUCAGUCGUGUUCAUUGGAUUCAGCCGGUCUUCGGUGUACUUCCUUUGAACGGGUCAACAUCAGUUUUGCCCGGUGGAUAAAGGCAGUAGGAAUGUGGCCUCUCCGGAGGUGUUAUAGCCUAUUGUCACAUACACUGGGGGAGACUGAGGACUGCAGCUCGCCUUUUGGCCGGGGUUCGCCCACGUUCGAGCUUAGGAUGU